ensembl:snRNA LOC120096460 U6 spliceosomal RNA
UUGCUUCAGCAGCACAUAUACUAAAAUUGGAAUUACACAGACAUAAGCAAGGCCCCUGCACAAGAAUGACACAAAAAUUUGUGAAGUGUUCCAUAUUUUG